rnacentral:tRNA from 2 species
ACGUUUUUAGUUUAAUAUGGAUAGAACUCUAGUCUUCUAAACUAGGUAUAUAGGUUCGAAUCCUAUAAAACGUA